CGAAAGUAUAUGCUCACUUCUUUCUAAUAACAAAUCAACCACACACUGCAAGCAACCUCUACCGGCAGUUUCAUGAAACAUGAGAAGAAAGUCGACUGCAAUGUAGACAGGCUGCGGUGCAGUAUAACGCGAAGCGAAGGAUGCAAAUUUUUCUGUCAUCUUUGUUUCGCUUCGCGUCGCGUUCAGUGUGUCACGGCGAUAACAGAGAGUGCGAAUGAGAAGCCCUCGAAAAACUCCGCAAUUCGGUUGUCAGCCGUUAUAGCGGAUACUUUGAAAUUUUAAAAAAUUUGAAAUUAUAAAAUCUAUUGCUCACGAGCUAUACAA
rnacentral:lncRNA from 1 species